UAUAGGCACAACAUGUGCUUACAAUUUUUCUCCAACAAAUUAUUAAUAACAAAGCAGCCAGUCAGAGUUGAGAAAGAAAUCAUAGGCCAAGGGGUUAAUCAUCAAUUCGUGUAUCAAUGUAUUAUUUAACACGUAGAAUGCCCCACAAUUUCAACGAAAUGAAAAAAUACAAUAUUGAAUUAUUUAAAUAUAAGAAUUUUAUAUUUCAAAUUAUUUACAAUAUAGGAAUGUUUUUUUAAUAAUCAUCGUUUAAUCGAGGGAAUUACAGUAAUCCGAUUUGGGCGUGGGUCACCGGUGACCCACACGGCAUUCAACGUGUUAAUGUACGAAUGCAUCGAUGUAGCGAUUAGCAUCUCGAUAUAUCGAUUGACGCAUGCAUCGUUUAAUCAAUUAUCACAUCGAUCGUUGGCGCGAAACUGACAAUUCUAUUUUGUAACCGUUAAUUAUAUCAAUGUCUCUCGACUUCAUUUUGAUGCCAGGCUAUUCUGUCAAGGAAGAAUCCGAAGAUUCUGGUAAACGAUCCGCCUCGAAUGUUUCACAGGGGACAGAAGUGAAAACAGACAAUUGCAAAUGAGGUUAUGUGUUUCCACGUUUAAUAUCGAGUCGAAGUCAAAACAGAUACUUACGAUGAUGGUCUGUCGGAUACAUAUCAAUAGUGCUUUUAUAAAUGUUGGAAGAGUAUUGGUGACCGGAAAUGCAAUUGAUUAUUGUUAUAUAUUCGGUAGUGGUAACGCGUUCAGUGGAAAAAAUGAAAGUGUCGUAUUUAAGAUUACUUUGGUAAUUACAUAGUACGGUAGAUUUUAUUUAAAAAGUAUAACGGUGUUGAAUAAUCAUUGACAGUCAAUACACAGGCGUAUCUUUAGAUAUCAAGCUUCGAGGAACAAUCGAUUAUCCGAAAAAAAAAAUCUACUCGAUACGAGAACAAUUGAUUUUCUAAAUACAAACGAUACGCGAAAGUAUCUAGAUAAAAUCAUGUUUCAUUGCACCUUUGAUCGCGGUGUUCGAUUACAAUGUAUAGAACAUUGUUCGAUAAUCGCAACUGAAAUACGCCUGAAACGAGAAACGAGAAAUAUCUCGCGUCGUGAUGUACGAUAUAACAGGGUGAAACGAAGGCGGCUCGAUCCGAUCGAUAAUCGAGCUGAGCCUUCUUCACCGAACGUUACAUAUCAAGAUUGUUGCCAAGUGUUUUCUGGGUAUCUGUUAAAGGCGAGAAUUGUAGUAUACUUGAUAAAGAAUUCGAAUGUCCGAUGUAUUUAGCUGCAACUCUGUGAAUCCACGGUCAUUCGGCUCAUACAUAUCAAUACGUUUUCGACAUUUUCCAGGGGCGAGUCGUUGACAUUUAUCGCGUAGCACUUCGUACGCCACAAUCUUUCGUAACUCGAUGAUGAAAGUAGAUCGAUAGUGGCCUUUUUCAUUUUUCGUUGUUGCUGAAAGUCACGGGAAAAGUUGUUGACACUAAUUAAAUUCGAAAUUAUAACCUCUGUUAAAUGUCUCUCCGUUCUAUUAAUCUUUUUGCUAAAUUGAUUUCGUUUAAUCUCAUUUAUUAUAUCAUUAUUAUUUAUUUAACCGAGACGAUUUAAGAAGUCUUCUGUUUAUUGUUCUAUUUAACAUCUGAUUUAAGACGUUGAAUGCAAUAGUUCACUCAAUUAAUGAUUACUUGAAAACAUUUCUAUAUUACAAUAAUGCAAUUCAAUGAUUUAAAAUAACAUGAGUGCUUAACAUUGAAAUUUAUAAGCAUCGUCAUGAAUUCAAUUCUAUAUAACCUUAAUUUUUUGCAAUUAUGCACUGUAAUCCUCGGAGUGAGCAUUUUUCCUAUUUUUUCAUUCAAAUUUUUGCUAUCCGUUGAAAGUGUUGAUAUUUUUUUUAUUUUGUGUAUGUUGCUUUAUAAAGUCGUGCGGCGUUCAACGUGUUAACCGUCGUUCGGUGAGCAAAACAGUGUAAUGGAUUCGAGUAAUCGAAUAAUCGAAUAGAAUCGAUUGUCGGAGGAGCUGUUAAACCGACUAUCUUCAGCGGCAAUAUCUUCAGAUCAUUUAAUUACUUAACUCGGCUCACAAAGGACCGGCCUGUCGAAAUGGAAUAACGACGGCUGAUGGAACGUAAUGUAACUCAACAGGAAACCGACACUUGUCAAUUCCGGCAGAGCGCGAACGCGAUCAUUGAAACGGCUUGCUGCUUCUGUUUCGUGACUUUACACCACUUUACAUCACGGCGGUUAACCGCAUGACAAAAUUAUGCCGGCUUUCAGCAAUACGAGAUGAAUCUGCAAAAGCAAACGGUAUACGUCGCAGUAACGCUUUCACGCAAGUAACGUUCAUUUCAAAUUUAACUUGACACUGGAACUACCGGACGGGUCAAAAUGGCCCAUUCCUGAAUUCCCUUUUUGCAAUUGUUAAAAAGAUAAUUGAUGUUUCUCUGAGAAAUUAUUAAACUGAUGUAGCGCAAACUGAAUUGUAAAUCAAUGGAAAUCAAUGGAUUUUCAAAAAUCUAACUGCUUGGUAGUUUUAGUGUUAACACUAGAACUACCGAGCAUUUAAUUACGGUUAACACGUUCUGUAGGAAAUUUCAUAUUUUCUUAUGAAUUGUAUUAACUUUUUAAAUCAAAUAUUAACCCCUUGACCUGCGAUCGUGUCAAACUCUCGCAGCUAAUUAUUAAUUUUUAAUUUUUUAAUUACUAAUUCUUAAUUUUUUUAAAUUAUCAAUUGAAUAUUACUUUUCUUUUCAAUCGUUAAUCUUUGGAGUAUACAUAGACGUAGAAGCAUCAACGUUCUUCUAAUAAAUUAUUAAUGAUAAAGUAGUUAAGAAAUAAAUCAUAGGGCAAGGGGUAGUUAUAUCCAAAUUUUUAAUAAUUUUUAUAUAUCUUGAUAUUGUUUCUUUAUAUUUUCGAUGCUUUGUAACGUAUACUAUUGUGUCCCUUAAAAAUAUUUUACAAAAAUUCUUGUGUAUAUGUGUUACAUAUGGCACCGAACGUGUUAACCCCUAAAAAAAUGGUAACAGAUUAUUUUUCUUCGUUAUUGUCGAACUAUUUUCGAAAUCAUAUCGAAUAUUCAACGCUUUCAGUAUAUCAAUAAUAAACAAAAUCAAAAGCAGUCACUUUGACUGGUAGUUCUAGUGUUAAGUUGCCCUGUUCGUCUAGCAACGUAGCAAAGAUUGUGACGUACGACAGCACGUCUGCUUGACCGUAUUUUAAGCUGCGAAAUGUGUUCGAAGUACAUUUAAGAACGCACGACGCUUAGAACCCGCGAUAUUUUUCGAUCUCUGUGAAAACAAAUUAUAGGUUAUGGCGAAACGAGGAAAGUACGAAGAGAGAUUUCAGCAGGACAUCGACGGACACGGUUACAUAGACGCAACAUAGGAAUUAUACGUAACGUGUAGCAAUGAUUAAUUGCCCUCCCAUAAAAUGUUCAUUAAGAAGAAAUGUAAACAUCGUCGAACACCUUUCGUAGACUGUAGCCAUCGCGCAGGAACGAUAUCGAAGAAACAUUCACCGAACAGUGUAGAGCUGUAAAAGUAUUCACAUGGAAAGUAAACUGUAUUUUACACCUCGAUAGAUAAUUAACUGUACGACGAUAGGAUUAAGCCAAAAAAUGAACCUCGAUUCGCUAAAAAUCAGAUUUCAGUUGGAACAACCAAAAAUUCCUUUUUUCCCAAAAAGAUAAUAAUCUUAGCAAGAGAACGUGAGCCAACAAUAUUUUCUUUCACACACGACUCUACAGUAGAAUAUAAAGUUUCAUGGAAAUGUAUUGUAUGCUUUUAGGUAUCUCUAUGGAAAAAGUACACUACACUCCUGACUCACAUAGUGGAACAUAUCCCCUAGACGAUCUUAGAACGCGGAAACGGGGUGGUCGUUAAUGACGCUCUCACGCGUCGAAGACGCCCUAUGAACCAUGUCGAGACAUAUCUCUGAUGGCCGUAGUUGUAGUCUCGCCGGCUGCGUUGUUAUUAUUACUAAUUAUUAUAAGCGGUAUUUUUGUACAGUGUCUUACAGUGCUCGGAUCGUUGCAGGCGCAGCCGACGAGCCGUUCACGGCAUAGCCAUAUUAUACAUAAUUAUUACUAUUAUUAUAUAUAUAUAUAUACAUAUACAUAAACAUAUACAUAUACAUAUAGCAUACGUAUAUAUUUAUUUCGAUUGUAACGCGUAAUAAUUGUUAGAACGUUUCUUCGGCGCACUCAUACGCCACGGUACGCGUGUACACAUUGAUAAUCGAACACGGGAAAAUGUAUGGUGUGUGGAACGUAUUGAACGCAAGCGAAAGAGGACACGUUGAAUGAAUAAUGGAGCCUGUCGUUUUGACUCCGUUUCUAUGUUUUUAAUGAGAUUCAACGGUCCGGUGAAUAUAUCCGCUUGAAUAUAUAUAUCUCGGUGCUCUCAUACUUGUUCACGCGUCGAAGACACUGGUUUCGAACUUUUUCACUUUACCGCUAACACACACUAGUGUCGAGCCAACACGGACACAAGAGCAUGUAUGUAUUUACACGUAACGAAAGUAGUCGUACGAGCAUAGGCACGCUUACCAGUGAACUAUAGAGAUACAUAACUACCUACGUAUCGUACCUAUAUGUUACUUUCUUCUGUUAAUUAAGGUUAAGUAAUUCUUGUGUAUAAGAAACACGAUACUCGUAUGGAGAAUAGAAAUGUGAACGAGUGGUUAAACGUUGGUUAAAUACAUGCAUCAUGUCUGAACAUUGUGAGAGAUUAGAAAGAGAGAGAGAGUGAGAGAGUGAAAGAGAGAGAGAGAGAGUGUACACAUGCAACACAUACACAGAAAUUACACGCCUAAAAUGUUACAUAUCGGUGUUACAACGUAUAAAUAUAAACUAUAUUAUUAUAAAUAUACAGACUAUGUAAAACACAGAUACACAUAAAGUUUGUCUUUAUAUGUCUAUAAAUAUUGUUAUAUAUAUACAUAUAUAUAUAUAUAUGGUCAUUAUAUUAUAAUUAUUACGUGUAUGUGUUAUGAAACAUCUUGUCUCGCAAUGAUCCGCGAUACGGGCAUCUACCCAGAUUCUAAUGUCUAUAUGUCAUUGUUUAUUAUGUCGUUAAUAAUUAACGUGUAUAUGUGAAACUUUCAAAACAAAUAAAAAAAUACCUAAGCAUGUA